UACGGGGGGAGCAAGCGUUGUUCGGAUUUACUGGGCGUAAAGGGCGCGUAGGCGGCCACCGCAGGUCGGCUGUGAAAUCUCCGGGCUUAACUCGGAAAGGUCAGCCGAUACUGCGGGGCUAGAGUGCAGAAGGGGCAACUGGAAUUCUCGGUGUAGCGGUGAAAUGCGUAGAUAUCGAGAGGAACACCUGCGGCGAAGGCGGGUUGCUGGGCUGACACUGACGCUGAUUGUGCGAAAGCUAGGGGAGCGAACGGG
rnacentral:rRNA from 1 species